GUCAGACCCUGCCAGCAGCUCCUUUGCCUUUGAGCUUCUCAUCCACCGAAGAUACCAUGGGUCUCCAUGUGGAAUGAUUAUUAUAUUGGAAGGGUGACUGGAAACUCAGCCCUUUAGUCUGGAGGACUUAAACAGAUGUGUGAACACUAGGAUUUCAUCAUGUUUUAGAGGUGACCUUUAAAAGAGCAGCACUGAUGGUCUCCCUUCAUCCUCGUGUUGUACCUCCUUGGAGAAGGUCACUGGGGAGCCCCAAAUUGUUCUGAAAGAUGAGAAAACCAAGGCUCAGAGAAUUCAAGUGACUUGUUCCGAGUUAUCAACUGGUCUUCCUCUUCCCUCUCAAGCCAACCACCCAUCUGUUCACACCACAUGCUACCUAGCCUUCAGGUUCCUCUGGGAAGCCCAGGCUGCUUCUGUGCUUGCUCUCUGUGAUCACCUCCAUCACCAAGUUCAUUGUAUCAUCCAUUCUCUCUCACCCUCUCCACACUCUGUGCUC